GGCACGCCCAUCAUGCCUGUUGCUUUGAGUCCUGGGCGAAUUGCCGGCUUCGGCCCUGAUUCUCCGCAGACGCCUCACUGCGUGCCUGUUAAGUGAAAGGUCAUGGAGCGAACAAGCAUCUCCUGGACUCUGGGAGGAAUAAUGUGUUUUUAGUAGGAGGAUGACCUACUAAAUCACCCCGUUUUCAGCCUUCAGCCAAGCCCGGGAUGAGAACAACUGCAACCCGCAAAAGAGGACAGAGAUGACCUUAGGUUAACUACUCUUACGUACUCCCAAAUUUCAGGAUCUAUCUUAACCUAAAAAUACACUUACUAAUCACAGCCUCUAAGAUCGGUGACAUUAAAGUUUACUUAAGAAAAAAACUAAGUCGAUCUAGGGGAUAAAUGGAAUGUCAAAAGAGACUACUGAAAAAAAAUCCCAGAAUUUUCGGAGGGCCUUAAAUAAAAUAUCUUGUAAAAAUCAGGGCCAUCCUCCUAGUUCUUCACCCACUUUCACCUUAAUAUUUAAACCUAUAGGGCUUCCAAACAUAACCAUGUAGUGACCUCACAUCGCAUUUCUUGUUUUAGUAGGAUUGCCCUUCAAUUAUAGGCUGGGUACUCAGGAUAAUUAGAUUAAAAUUUAAAUGGCUUAAAUUUUAUUUAUUUUAUUGGCUUUUAGUACGGAAAACUAAAUAGUCUGUUCAAGAACUAUACGGAGUCAUCCCUUUGCAAGCUUAUAUAUUCAGAUCAUCAGUUAAUUCUUGUUUCUUUUUUUUUUUUUAUAAUUUUGUUUUUUGUUUUAGGUGGACACAAUAUCUAUUUAUUUUUAUGUGGGGUGCUGAGGAUCGAACCCAGUGCCUCGCACAUGCCAGGCCAGCGCACUACCAUUUGAGCCGCAUCCCCACCCCUUAAUUCUUGGUUCUUAAACACUUGGUAUGCCAGGCCAGCGUGCUACCAUUUGAGCCGCAUCCCCACCCCUUAAUUCUUGGUUCUUAAACACUUGGUAACUCUCCAGCAUUCAUGGUACAAAUAAUUUUAAUCAGCUUGAUGUCACUUUAUCACAGAUUGGACGGAAUCUAAAAUAAGACUUCACUGACAGAAUACAAAGGGUGUUUGUUUGCUAAAGGAUAAAGGAAAGGGAAUAUAGGUAAUCAAGUCAGAGUAUUUCCCAGGAUGACGCCCAUACAGUGGGACCUGUGCAACCAGAAAAAAAAUGGAAAGACAAUUUUUCCCUUGAAUGUAUUGCAAAAUAAACAUCCUAUAGUCAUGCUCCUACUAAAAACUAUUUAUCAAGUGGCUUUUUCCAAAAUAUGUGUUCGCUCUGCCCCAUCCUCCCAUUUUUAAAAGCCUGGAAUAAUAAAACAAAGAGAACACAGAAGUUUAUCUAGCAGUUCCCCAAAUCCAUAACCAGUUUCACUUGAGAGUGUUAUCUAUCUUAUACUUUAAAAAAACUUGAUCCAUAAGUGUAUAGUUCCCAGUACUAAAAUAUUUUUUAAUAUCUUUAUUUUGUUUAUUUAUUUUUUUAUAUUUAUUUUUUAAUUGGACACAAUAUCUUUAUUUUAUUUAUUUAUUUUUAUGUGGUGCUGUGAAUCAACCCAAGGCGUCGCACAUGCUAGGUGGGUGCUCUGCCGCUGAGCCACAAUCCCAACGCUUUUUUAUUUAUUUUUAUGUAGUGCUGAGGAUUGAACCCAGUGCCUCACAUGUGUGAGGCAAGUGCUCUGCCACUGAACCACAACCCCAGCCCUCUAAAAUAUUUUUAAUGUGGUUCUGUCACCCACAUGUUUCCUCAAAGAUUUUAUCUUGGUGGAGCAGCCUGUAAUCCCAGCUACUGGGGAGCCUGAGGCAGGAGAAUCACAAAUUUGAGACCAGCCUGGGCAACUUAGCCAGAUCCUAUAUCAAAAUAAAAUAAAUAUGGCUAUAGCUCAGUGUUUACCUAUAAUGUUUGGGGUGUUCAAUCCACCACACACACACACACACACACACACACACACACACACACAAUAUAUAUAUAUAUAUAUAUAUCUUGGGAAGGGGGUUCUGUGAAUAGAACAUUUUGAGCUCACUACUCAAAUGCGUACUUUUAAAUACUCCUAAUUAAUGGUAUUCAAACUCCAGAAAAUGGAAAUGGCUUCACAUUAAAGGCUAGGUGUUUCUAUAAGCCUAUUUUUGCCUGCAUGGAAAGAUUUGAAAUUGCCACUGGGAAUAUAUUCUUGUAUUUUGCUGUUUUUGUUUUUUGUAUGUGGUUGUGUGUUUUUGUUUUGUUUUGCUUUUUAAGUGAGAUGGUAAGUUUUUUACUUUCUUUGUUUAUCUGAUAGGUCAUAUCAUACCAUAUCAGCUAUUCUUAAAAGCAAACUCUGGUAGUAAGACCCUUUCAGUGGAUAUGCAUAAUUAGAACUAUUUUCAUAAUAAUGAGAAAUAGUUUCUCUUUUUUUAACUGUCAUUCUCUCACAAAUAUAUAGUAGAGUUUUCCAGGGGCGUUAUGACAUGAUGACAUCAUCAUUAUGACAUGAUGACAUCAUCAUUCUGAUAGUAAAUGGACUGUGUGCUUGUGAUGUCAUAUUUUUUCUAGAAUAUUCUAACGUAUUUAGUUUCUGAAAUGCAUAAACAUUUGGAAUAUCUGCAUAAGUCAGUGAAUCAGUAUUUUCCAAAUGAACAAUGGAUGAUAUUACAAAAUGAGUAAAAAGAUUCAUUGAAAGUGCAAGAUGGACAUGGGGUUUAAUGUAGCAAAGUACAAAAAGAUCAUUGACAUUUCAUAUUUCACUUGUAAGGAACCUGUAAGAAACUACCAUGCUGGGGCUGGGGAUGUGGCUCAAGGGAUAGCGUGCUCGCCUGGCAUGCCUGAGGCCUGGAGUUCGAUCCUCAGCACUACAUACAAACAAAGAUGUUGUGUCCACUGAAAACUAAAAUAAAUAAAUAAAUCUAUCUCUCUCUCUCUCUCUAAAAAUAAAUAAAUAAAAAUAAAGGCACUUAUUUAAAAAAAAAAGAAAGAAAGAAACUACCAUGCUGUUUUGUUAUAUUAUCAGAGAAUAAACAUAAUUAUCUAGAAAAGCUAUUAAAAUAUUCCUCCCUUUUGCAACAACAUUUCUUAUUCAUGUAUUUCCACCAAAACCACAUAUUGCAACAUAUAGCAUAAAAAGGCAGAUCUGAGGAUCUAGUUUCAGUUACAUUAAACUAGGCAAUAAAGAGAUUUGCAGAAAAGUAAAACAAUAAGCUUCGUAUCUAAAUAUUUUGUUUUCAUUGAAAUGGGUUAAAUUAUAAUGUGG
rnacentral:lncRNA from 1 species